rnacentral:rRNA from 1 species
GACAGAGGGGGCAAGCGUUGUCCGGAGUUACUGGGCGUAAAGGGCGCGGAGGCGGUCUGCGGCGUCGGCGCUGAAAGCGCCCCGCUUAACGGGGCGAGGCGUGCCGAUACGCGCAGACUUGAGGCGAGCAGAGGGUGGUGGAAUUCCGGGUGGGGCGGUGAAAUGCUUAGAGAUCCGGAGGAACGCCAGUGGGGAAGCCGGCCACCUUGGCUCGUCCUGACGCUGCGGCGCGACAGCGUGGGGAGCAAACCGG